rnacentral:lncRNA from 1 species
UGAAAAUCUGAUUCAGUGCCUGAAUCGUAUUGUGCUUUCUUGGCUUGCAAGUCACUAUCAUCAAUCUGAGUAUUGCAAAUUUCUUGUAAAAAUGUUGGUCUGGCUCUUAACUCUGACAAAACUGAGCCAUCAUCUAACAAGGCCAACUGUGUGUUCAAGGCUCUCAAGGCAAAUAAGGAUUUUAUGCUUAGUGCAUCUGCGACCACAUUCGCCUUUCCCGGG